UACAGAGGUCUCAAGCGUUGUUCGGAUUCCUUGGGCGUAAAGGGUGUGUAGGUGGCGCCGUAAGUCGGGUGUGAAAUUUCGGAGCUUAACUCCGAAACUGCAUUCGAUACUGCGGUGCUUGAGGACUGGAGAGGAGACUGGAAUUCAUGGUGUAGCAGUGAAAUGCGUAGAGAUCAUGAGGAAGACCAGUGGCGAAGGCGGGUCUCUGGACAACAACUGACGCUGAGGAGCGAAAGCGUGGGGAGCGAACAGG
rnacentral:rRNA from 1 species